UCCCACAACCAUACCACCCCGCCUGAUAUCUUCUGAUCUUGGAAGCCAAGCAGGGUCGGGUCUGGUUAGUACUUGGAUAGGAGACCACCUGGGAAUAUCAGGAGCUAUAGGCU
rnacentral:rRNA from 1 species